UUCUCAUACGCAGCUCAUGGGAAAUAUCGGUUUUGUUUUCAUUCCCAGUAUGCCAUAGUGGUUGGCAGUGAUGCUAGUCUUGUCCCUCCCUACUACCCAAACUACACCACAACAGUCAACUGUCAAUCACAAGUGAAGCUCUUUUUGAACGACAGUUAACCCAGUUCAACUCAGAAUCCAAAAUCCACUCUCUCUAAAUCUCUCCAACAUCAUUAGCUCCCUUUUUUUUUUUUUUUUUUACCCACACCCUUUGUAGACUUCUCAAGUAAAGUUCCUACAGCCUGUGCAACUGUCCUCAGAGGAUCAGAGGGAUGAUAACAAGCAUAUAUUUCUGAAUUGGGACAUGGUACAAGCCGAGCAAUAUGAGCCUGCAGAUUGAGCAAGAACAGCAGAGGCAGCCCCAAAAUGCUUUGUUCUUGUUCCCAUUUAGCCGGGAUGAAUGGGAUGCUAGCGAGAGGGGGACACGGUGGAUGAGAUGCUUGAGAUGAGACAAACCCGUCAGCGUAAUGCAGAGAAUCUUUAACAGACCUGUCCUUCUCAGGGAUAGGACGCACGUGUCAUAACACAUGAUCUUCAAGGUCUGGAUCCUGAAGAUAUUUGUGCCAAAGAGAGCGUGAGUCCACAGGUUGUCAGCUGAAGGUCAGAGGGCGAGCCGAUGUUAAGUCGUUGGAACCAAGGAAAGUGGAGAUGAUGCCGUUCUGGUCCACCUUUCGGAUCGUAGUGCCAUCAACGAAAUAAAUCAAACCAUUCUUGUCCACGGCAAUGCCUGUUGACAUCAGCUCCAUGAUACUUGUGACAUUGCCAGAUGGGUAGAUACGACGGAUGUAAUUGAAAUCUCCAACGUACAGACUACCAUCGAUGCCCCAAGCCAGAGCCACCGGCGCUAACAGCUUGUUGCCUUGGGCCUGCC